rnacentral:rRNA from 1 species
GGGUCAGUAGGUUGGUCGUGCCACCGGUACGUACUGGUCUCACUGAUUCCUCCUUCCUGAAGAACCGUAAUGCCAUUAAUUUGGUGUUGCGGGGAAACAGGACUGUUACUUUGAAAAAAUUAGAGCGUUUAAAGCAAGCUAACGCUUGAAUACAUCAGCAUGGAAUAAUGAAAUAGGACGAUCGAUCCUAUUUUGUUGGUUUCUAGGAUUGACGUA